AUCACACUCUGAAACCCCUCUUCAGUUCAUCGCCUUGAUUUUGAAUCCAACCAGCUGCAGCAAUGGGAAAUACAGGUACUCACAUUGCCAAUGCAACAGACGACAACAUUAAGAUUUUCUGCAAAAAGUCAAAGUUGGAACUCCAAGACACCCAUGUUGACAUUGGUGGAGAAAUCUGUGUAGGGCUCAUGGACAUCCAUGCCAAAGCUACAACAGCAUCAACGCUGAACUUCGCUCGCAGUAAAGACGUUUCCAUCCAAUUCAUCCCAGCGAGAGACUACAUCGACUGCCCUGCCUUCGAGGUCAUGUUUGUCACUGGAAAAACCGACAAUGAAUAUCUCUUCCAAAACUACAAGGCGGUUAAUUUCAUUGAACAGCCUAGAUCCUUCAUCAUCACCGCUAACAAAGCCAUCAAGUAUGCCAAGUCAGGAGAGAUCUGGGUCGAUGACCAGGGAAAAGAUCACAAGCCUAAAACAACAUUUGACGUUGCUACUCAAAGUAAACAAGUAACAGAAGAUAAGGCAGUACAGAUAUCUGAAAAAUAAUAUCUAUUCUGCAAUCCAAGCCAGAGAUUUGCUCCAAAACCUAAAUUUUUAAACAUUUGUAAAAUGAAUCAGUGGCUUGUGUAAUUUGGGAAAAUAUAUGCUUAAUAAACCCUAUCAAGAUGAUAUUGCAUUCUUGAUAGUGUCUGUGAUAUUGUCACCACUUGAAAUUCUAGCUAAUAAAAACAUUUAUGAUAA